CAUGGCUACUGGUUGUAUAUUACCUUGUACCUUUUCAUAGUUGCUUCUUUAGAGGAUGGUUUAUUUCCUCAGUUAAACUUUAAUACCUUCAAUGGAGAAUUUUGACUAAGCUGGGCUCAUUUGAAGUAAGGGGCCUGGGUUGCCCGAGAGGGGAGAAGAAGGCAUUCUGAAUGGAGACAACAUCACUGACACACUGUACAGAGACAGAAUGAGGAGAGCACUGGUAGGAAUCAGAUUCACACUGAAACAUCAGAUCUCCUGGGUCUUCAGUUUGCCAUCUCUGCAGAUACUGGGACUUGCCUGCCUCCAUACUCAUAUUGCCCACCCUGGAUGAAAUUGGACAUCAUGUCAUGAGAACACAUGCAGUCGAUGAACAGGCUCACAUUGCAAGGAAUGAAAGCUUCCAACAAAGCACCCAGCAUCAAGUCACAAGCACCAUGAGUGAGCCACUUGGAAACAGAUUCUCCAGCCUGUCAAGAAGCCUUCACAUGAAUGUAGCACUGGUCAAAAUCUGGACUGCAACCUCCUGAGAGACCCUGAGCCAAGCCACUCCUGAGUCCCUGACCCACAGAAAUUUGAAAAUAAUAAAUACUUAUUUUUGUCAUAA